CCUACGGGCGGCUGCAGUGGGGAAUAUUGGACAAUGGGGGGAACCCUGAUCCAGCCAUGCCGCGUGUGUGAAGAAGGCCCGGGUUGUAAAGCACUUUCAGUGAGGAAGAACGCCUGGUGGUUAAUACCCAUCAGGAAAGACAUCACUCACAGAAGAAGCACCGGCUAACUCCGUGCCAGCAGCCGCGGUAAUACGGAGGGUGCGAGCGUUAAUCGGAAUUACUGGGCGUAAAGCGCGCGUAGGUGGCUUGAUAAGCCGGUUGUGAAAGCCCCGGGCUCAACCUGGGAACGGCAUCCGGAACUGUCAAGCUAGAGUGCAGGAGAGGAAGGUAGAAUUCCCGGUGUAGCGGUGAAAUGCGUAGAGAUCGGGAGGAAUACCAGUGGCGAAGGCGGCCUUCUGGACUGACACUGACACUGAGGUGCGAAAGCGUGGGUAGCAAACAGGAUUAGAUACCCGGGUAGUC
rnacentral:rRNA from 1 species